GAUGAAGAACGCAGCGAAAUGCGAUAAGUAGUGUGAAUUGCAGAAUUCAGUGAAUCAUCGAGUCUUUGAACGCACAUUGCGCCCCCUGGUAUUCCGGGGGGCAUGCCUGUCCGAGCGUCAUUGCUGCCCUCAAGCACGGCUUGUGUGUUGGGCCUCCGUCCUCCUCCCGGGGGACGGGCCCGAAAGGCAGCGGCGGCACCGCGUCCGGUCCUCGAGCGUAUGGGGCUUCGACACCCGCUCUUGUAGGCCCGGCCGGCGCUUGCCGACACAUCAAUCUUUUUUCCAGGUUGACCUCGGAUCAGGUAGGGAUACCCGCUGAACUUAAGCAUAUCAAUAAGCGGAGGA
rnacentral:misc_RNA from 1 species